AUGUAACAUUCCUUAAAACUCACUAAACCCCACACCUUUACUACUACUACUACUUUUUCCUACAAAAGGGACCAACAAAAACAUAAAUUAAAAAAAUAAAAAUAUUAUUAAAAUUUAACAAAGAAAAAUAGUACUAUUUAAGCUCCAAAUUUCCCAUUUUUCUAAUUUUCAUCAUGUAUCCAAAAAAAUGGAGCUCAAGUAGUACUAUUUUAUAGUAACUUUCUUGAUUUUUUUUUCAUGAACCUAAGUGAACCUCCUCCUAUUGUUGGAUUCAUGAAUAACAUCAAGCAAACAAGUGCUUUUGCAUUUAGGGCAACUUGAAUCACCCUCAGCUAACAUGACAUA
rnacentral:lncRNA from 1 species